CUCAGAAAUAAAGGAUCUUUCAUGUGAAAGCAAUGCAAAGCAAAGCAAAGGAGAAAAUACAGGCUAUUGAUUGCUCUAAGUUGUUCCUGCAUUUCUGUUUUAAAGUACAAUUGAAGAGUCUCAUUACUUGCUUGAAAAUUGGAACAGUCACACACUCUCAGCCCAACGCAUCUCACAGGAGAUUUUUUUAUGGAGAAACUACAUGUUGUCCUGGAACUGCGAC